rnacentral:rRNA from 1 species
UACGGAGGGUGCAAGCGUUAUCCGGAUUCACUGGGUUUAAAGGGAGCGUAGGUGGGCUGGUAAGUCAGUGGUGAAAUCUCCGAGCUUAACUUGGAAACUGCCAUUGAUACUAUUAGUCUUGAAUAUUGUGGAGGUUAGCGGAAUAUGUCAUGUAGCGGUGAAAUGCUUAGAGAUGACAUAGAACACCAAUUGCGAAGGCAGCUGGCUACACAUAUAUUGACACUGAGGCUCGAAAGCGUGGGGAUCAAACAGG